rnacentral:tRNA from 1 species
GGCUCGGUGGUGUAGUUGGUUAUCACGUCAGUCUAACAACAACAGUUGUUUCUUGGACACUGAAGGUCCCGAGUUCAAACCUCGGCUGAGUCA